AUAGAAAUUACUUGGAAUUAUUUAGGGUUUGAUUAGAGUAUAUUUAUGAUUUGAUUAGGAUUCAGUUAAGGUUUGUUUAGCUUUUUUGAGGACUUCACUAGGAUUUGGUUGGAUUUUAUUGAGAGUUUGAUUAAGUUUUGGUUAAGAUUUAUUUAGGGUUUGACUAGGAUUUGUUAAGGUUUUUUUAGGAUUUGAUGUCACAAACAUAUAUAUACUAUAAUUGUUAUCUAGAUGA
rnacentral:lncRNA from 1 species